rnacentral:rRNA from 1 species
UACGUAGGGCGCAAGCGUUGUCCGGAAUUAUUGGGCGUAAAGAGCUCGUAGGCGGCCUGUUGCGUCCGCUGUGAAAACCCGGGGCUCAACCCCGGGCCUGCAUUCGAUACGGGCAGACUAGAGUUCGGCAGGGGAGACUGGAAUUCCUGGUGUAGCGGUGGAAUGCGCAGAUAUCAGGAGGAACACCAAUAGCGAAGGCAGCUCGCUGGGACGGUAUUGACGCUAAGGCGCGAAAGCGUGGGGAGCAAACAGG